rnacentral:rRNA from 1 species
GUGAGGAAUUUUCCGCAAUGGGCGAAAGCCUGACGGAGCAAUGCCGCGUGAAGGAUGAAGGCCUAUGGGUUGUAAACUUCUUUUCUUAGAGAAGAAUAUUGACGGUAUCUGAGGAAUAAGCAUCGGCUAACUCUGUGCCAGCAGCCGCGGUAAUACGAAGGGGGCUAGCGUUGUUCGGAAUUACUGGGCGUAAAGCGCACGUAGGCGGACAUUUAAGUCAGGGGUGAAAUCCCGGGGCUCAACCCCGGAACUGCCUUUGAUACUGGGUGUCUGGAGUAUGGAAGAGGUAAGUGGAAUUCCGAGUGUAGAGGUGAAAUUCGUAGAUAUUCGGAGGAACACCAGUGGCGAAGGCGGCUUACUGGUCCAUUACUGACGCUGAGGUGCGAAAGCGUGGGGAGCAAACAGGAUUAGAUACCCCUGUAGUCC